CUACGGGGGGCAGCAGUCGAGGAUAUUUAGCAAUGGGCGAAAGCCUGACUAUGCGACGCCGCGUGAGGGAUGAAGGUUCUCGGAUUGUAAACCUCUUUCAAUGGGGAAGAAUUCUGACGGUACCCAGAGAAGAAGCCACGGCUAACUCCGUGCCAGCAGCCGCGGUAAUACGGAGGUGGCUAGCGUUACUCGGAUUUACUGGGUGUAAAGGGCAUGUAGGCGUCCUGAUAAGUUCUUGGUGAAAUCCUUCUGCUUAACAGAAGAACUGCCAGGAAAACUAUCAGGAUUGAGACUAGGAGAGGAGAGCGGAAUUCCCGGUGUAAGGGUGAAAUCUGCAGAUAUCGGGAGGAACACCAGUAGCGAAGGCGGCUCUCUGGUCUAGACCUGACGCUGAACUGCGAAAGCUAGGGUAGCAAACAGGAUUAGAUACCCGCGUAGUC
rnacentral:rRNA from 1 species